ensembl:lncRNA
CCGAGGAAGUGAUGUGACAGAGCGAGGAGAGAGUUUGUGAGCUGCCAGGACCGUCCACAGUCUGCAGGUGAACCGAGAGACUGCCGUGUGACCUCUGUGCGGAUUUGAUAGUGUUUGUCCGUGUUUGUGUCUGAAAUGUCUCAGGACUGGACAUGGUGCAGCUCAAAGACUGUCUACUGCUGCUUCUCCUCCUCACAGAUACAUCACUGGUCCUACUCUCUGACAUAUGCAGUGGACACAUGGACUUGUCCCAGAUGCCUAUGGGACGUUUGACUUUCAAUCCAAAGCAGGGGACAGACCAAACCAAGAGGACACUUGUGGUUUGCACUCAGACUUUGGAGAUCCCAGCACGUCAUACUGUACUGCUAAAGUUAGUGUGGCUGGAGAGGGCGUCAAACAUGUCCCUGUUGUGCGUUUGGGGCACAAAGGAGUGGACACUGGCUGUGGGGGACACUGCCCUGCUUUCUGGAUGUGACCAAAACAAAGCCAAUCUCACUUGGACCGGAGCAGGGCAUUCCUCAAAUGCUUUCCAGCUCUUCUACAAUGUUCAGGAGGACGAGAAAAGCUCCACAGAGACCAACACCAACCCAGACUCACACCCCAACAUCUUCACCUCUUCUCCAGACACCACCACUGAUCAUAGUCCCUUUUCUGAGAGUGCAGAUCUUUCAGGGAAUUCAACCCGCAACUCUGGGCUGAUACAGCCCACCACCACCUCCCCCUCCGUCUCUGGAAGCACUGGCAGGGAAGCUUCUAUAUUUCCUGGGGAAGAAUGGAACAAUGGACCGGAUACAUCUGGAGCGACACGGCGCACUGAUAGUCCUGGUACACUGGACUAUUUUAACACACAACAUUCAGUUCGAAGUUUGGAUUUUAUGACAUCUCAAAAUGCAAAUUUACAAACUUUCUCAGAAUCAAAUGAAGUGACAACUAACAGCGAAACAUCUAUAAGCACUGGAUUCUACACAACUACUGGCCAC